rnacentral:rRNA from 1 species
GACGAGGGGUCCAAGCGUUGUUCGGAAUUAUUGGGCGUAAAGCAGGUGUAGGUGGCUCUAUAAGUCAGGAGUGAAAUCCCCAAGCUUAACUUGGGAAGUGCUUUUGAUACUGCAGAGCUUGAAUGUGGGAGAGGAUAGUAGAAUUCCAGGUGUAGUGGUGAAAUACGUAGAUAUCUGGAGGAAUACCGGAGGCGAAGGCGGCUAUCUGGCCCAACAUUGACACUGAGACCCGAAAGCGUGGGGAUCAAACAGG